rnacentral:rRNA from 1 species
GACGAACGCUGGCGGCGUGCCUAAUACAUGCAAGUAGAACGCACAGGAUGCACCGUAGUUUACUACACCGUAUUCUGUGAGUUGCGAACGGGUGAGUAACGCGUAGGUAACCUGCCUGGUAGCGGGGGAUAACUAUUGGGAACGAUAGCUAAUACCGCAUAAGAACAUUUACUGCAUGGUAGAUGUUUAAAAGGUGCAAAUGCAUCACUACCAGAUGGACCUGCGUUGUAUUAGCUAGUAGGUGAGGUAACGGCUCACCUAGGCGACGAUACAUAGCCGACCUGAGAGGGUGAUCGGCCACACUGGGACUGAGACACGGCCCAGACUCCUACGGGAGGCAGCAGUAGGGAAUCUUCGGCAAUGGGGGGAACCCUGACCGAGCAACGCCGCGUGAGUGAAGAAGGUUUUCGGAUCGUAAAGCUCUGUUGUUAAGGAAGAACGAGUGUGAGAAUGGAAAGUUCAUACUGUGACGGUACUUAACCAGAAAGGGACGGCUAACUACGUGCCAGCAGCCGCGGUAAUACGUAGGUCCCGAGCGUUGUCCGGAUUUAUUGGGCGUAAAGCGAGCGCAGGCGGUUAGAUAAGUCUGAAGUUAAAGGCAGUGGCUCAACCAUUGUAGGCUUUGGAAACUGUUUAACUUGAGUGCAGAAGGGGAGAGUGGAAUUCCAUGUGUAGCGGUGAAAUGCGUAGAUAUAUGGAGGAACACCGGUGGCGAAAGCGGCUCUCUGGUCUGUAACUGACGCUGAGGCUCGAAAGCGUGGGGAGCGAACAGG